rnacentral:rRNA from 1 species
UGAGUAACGCGUGAGCAACCUGCCUACGAGAGGGGAAUAACAGUUAGAAAUGACUGCUAAUACCGCAUAAGCUGAUAGAACCGCAUGGUUUAGUCAGAAAAGGAGCAAUCCGCUUGUAGAUGGGCUCGCGUCCGAUUAGCUAGUUGGUGAGGUAAAGGCUUACCAAGGCGACGAUCGGUAGCCGGACUGAGAGGUUGAACGGCCACAUUGGGACUGAGAUACGGCCCAGACUCCUACGGGAGGCAGCAG